UUAUUAUAAACAUUAUUCAUUUUUUUCACAUAUUACUUUUUUUAAUCUAGUAUGAAAUUUCUAUCAUAUAUUAUUGCUUGUCUAGUUAUUCUAAGCUUAGUUGAUUAUUUCUCAGGAACCCCUAUAGAAUCCAAGUGGAAUAGAGAUACACUAACAACUACGGAUGGAAGAUUUAGAGAAAUAGAAUGUUUUCCAAGGUGCCCCUGGAUGUCAUGUCCAAAUGGAAUUCGUUGUGGAUCUUGUGCCUGUAACCCUUAGUAGAAAAGAAGAGUGAUAUAUCGUUGAAAUUCAAGAUAAAAUUAAAAUUUAAAUUUAUCACAAUGUUGUUUCAAGAUUAAUUAUAUAAAUUUUAUUUUUUUUUAAGGUUGAUACCAAAAUCUUAAAAAUAUAAAUAAAUUUUAAAAAAAAUUUUGAAGAAAAAAAUAACAAGCUAUUUUUAAAUGUAAA